rnacentral:rRNA from 1 species
CGAACGGGUGAGUAACACGUGGGUGAUCUGCCCUGCACUUCGGGAUAAGCUUGGGAAACUGGGUCUAAUACCGGACAGGACUACGGACUGCAUGGUUUGUGGUGGAAAGCUUUUUGCGGUGUGGGAUGGGCCCGCGGCCUAUCAGCUUGUUGGUGGGGUGAUGGCCUACCAAGGCGACGACGGGUAGCCGGCCUGAGAGGGUGUCCGGCCACACUGGGACUGAGAUACGGCCCAG